rnacentral:rRNA from 1 species
GACGAACGCUGGCGGCGUGCUUAACACAUGCAAGUCGAACGGUGAAAGCGGAGCUUGCUCCGCUGGAUCAGUGGCGAACGGGUGAGUAACACGUGGGCAACCUGCCCCUCACUUCGGGAUAACCCCGGGAAACCGGGGCUAAUACCGGAUAUGACCUCCUUGGGCAUCCUUGGAGGUGGAAGGGUUUUCGGUGAGGGAUGGGCCCGCGGCCUAUCAGCUUGUUGGUGAGGUAGUGGCUCACCAAGGCGACGACGGGUAGCCGGCCUGAGAGGGCGACCGGCCACACUGGGACUGAGACACGGCCCAGACUCCUACGGGAGGCAGCAGUGGGGAAUAUUGCGCAAUGGGCGAAAGCCUGACGCAGCAACGCCGCGUGCGGGAUGACGGCCUUCGGGUUGUAAACCGCUUUCAGCAGGGAAGAAGCCGCAAGGUGACGGUACCUGCAGAAGAAGCACCGGCUAACUACGUGCCAGCCGCCGCUGUAA